GUCAGGCGAAACUGGGUUUGCCCCAAAAAAAAAAAAAAAAAAGAAUCCAAAAAAAAAAUAUGGCAAUACUCGCAGAGAUGUAAGUGUAAAGUGAUGUUUAUUUACAGUGCUCGAGAGGUGAAACAGUCCCAGUAGACAAACAACCAAAGCUAUUUACAAAAGUAACAAACAAAAAAAACAAAUAGGAAAAAAAAAAACUGCACAAAAUAACAAAGAAAGAAAAAUGUAUAUAUAUAAAUAUAUACACGCAAACUACCUCAAUGUCAAAAUGUCAAAUAAAUCGCUCACGGCACCACACUUGCUCGCUUGCUCGCCAGGUUAACUGACAACCUUUUCUUAUUUGGGGCUCCUCUUUAUAGUCCAAGCCCCACCCAUUUUGUUAAAACCAUCAUCAACAUGAGUGGGUAAGUAUUCAGGUGAGUAUAUUGCAACAUUACAUAAAUAUUUACACACAUAAAAUAACGAAAUAUAUAUAAACAAAAAAAUAAAGUCAAAAUAACAAAUACAAAUAUAGACAUAAAUAAUAAUAAACACAUAAUAAUAGUGCAACUUUCCAUUACCCCCCCCCCCCAUAUUAACAAGACAGUGGACGAGCCGACUUCCGGUUGCUUCGCGCCGACGCGUCCACACACAGCGAUCCCGGCACUAAUUAUCCCGGCCGCUGGGUGACGCUCAGGUUCGGCCGACUGAUGGUGGAGAAGCAACGCGAAAGACCGGCAACACAGACGCUGACAAACACGGAACACAGCGUGGAUUCUGACGGGGAUGGAAAUGGAGUGGAUAUGUUUGCGUGUAUGACGACCAGCGUGCUAAUGGCGUGCGUGUGCACCCACAACGCCUCAGCAGAGAACGGAGGAUGAGGUAAGUUGGGCUGAGUGUGUGUGUGUGUGUGUGUGUGCUGCGCUAACCAACAGGGACAGGUCACUCUGUCACAUCACCUCCCCCCUCCCCAGGCCGCAAACUGACCGGAUUUCGGGACAGGUAGUCGGCAAUUUUGUUUUGGGGUCCAGGUCGAUGUCUGACCUUAAACUGGUAGGGUUGCAGGGAGAGAUACCACCUAGUCACCCGGGAGUUGUGCAUCUACCUGAACAAUGAACGCCUUUGUGAAGUCCGGACUUAUGAGGACUGGGCCAGAACACAUCUGCCUCUUUAGAGUGUUGAAGGCCAUUUCACAUUCCUCAGUCCAGAUAAUCGGGUUCUUCACGUUCUUACAGA